UACGUAGGGUGCAAGCGUUAAUCGGAAUUACUGGGCGUAAAGCGUGUGCAGGCGGUGAUGUAAGACAGUUGUGAAAUCCCCGGGCUCAACCUGGGAACUGCAUCUGUGACUGCAUCGCUGGAGUGCGGCAGAGGGGGAUGGAAUUCCGCGUGUAGCAGUGAAAUGCGUAGAUAUGCGGAGGAACACCGAUGGCGAAGGCAAUCCCCUGGGCCUGCACUGACGCUCAUGCACGAAAGCGUGGGGAGCAAACAGG
rnacentral:rRNA from 1 species